rnacentral:rRNA from 2 species
UAGAGUUUUGGAUCUGGCUCAGGAUGAACGCUGGCGGCGUGCCUAAUACAUGCAAGUCGAACGAGUUCUCGUUGAUGAUCGGUGCUUGCACCGAGAUUCAACAUGGAACGAGUGGCGGACGGGUGAGUAACACGUGGGUAACCUGCCCUUAAGUGGGGGAUAACAUUUGGAAACAGAUGCUAAUACCGCAUAGAUCCAAGAACCGCAUGGUUCUUGGCUGAAAGAUGGCGUAAGCUAUCGCUUUUGGAUGGACCCGCGGCGUAUUAGCUAGUUGGUGAGGUAAUGGCUCACCAAGGCGAUGAUACGUAGCCGAACUGAGAGGUUGAUCGGCCACAUUGGGACUGAGACACGGCCCAAACUCCUACGGGAGGCAGCAGUAGGGAAUCUUCCACAAUGGACGCAAGUCUGAUGGAGCAACGCCGCGUGAGUGAAGAAGGCUUUCGGGUCGUAAAACUCUGUUGUUGGAGAAGAAUGUCGGCAGAGUAACUGUGUCGGCGUGACGUUCCACAGAGAUGCAC